rnacentral:lncRNA from 1 species
UCUCGCGGGCCAACGUCACAGUGGUGAGACGCACGCUGACAAGCACCUUGGCCACAGUGCUGAGUGUGGCAUGCUGAGUGCCCUGCUGCAGUAGCACCACGUCAGCAGGUUAAGGCGGGCCCAGACUGAGGGGCCACGUGCAGUGGGCAGAGCUGCCCAGGCCCAGCCAGAGGCCCGGCUCUAGGGACCCCAGUAAACCAGGUCUGGCCGUUUGCCCCAGCCCCAUACAGAAGAAGCCAUGCUGAAGAGCAGGUGUGGCUAUGUUGGGAAGGCACCGUGGGGCAGCAACUCAGCCCUGUCUCUGGGGUGCUGAGUGAGCCUUGGGUUUCAGUGGAGGAAGAGCUGGGACUUCCUCACACUGGUCUGAUUGACUGUUCUCUAGCGCUGGUUCUGUGAGGUGGCUCUGGAGACCCUUAUUGCUGGAGAGGGCCGUCCCCCUUUGCCUCACAGGAUGUCUGUCUGCCAGACCUGGAGUCCUGGAGGGGGCACUUGGGUUCCCAUGAGACAACUGCUCCUGUGGGGGUCUGCCUCUUCAUGGGUGGUCUGCCUACCCGGCUCCGCUGUUCCUGGGAGGUGAUGGGCCACGGCAGGAGACUUUUAGGUGCUGCUCCAGGAGUCUGCAAAGUGCUUGGCAAGAGCUGGGAGCUGUGACCCCUGAGAAGCGUGAAGACACCUCGUUGCCCUCAUCUUGACGUCUUCAGACCCCAAGGAGGGGGUCACUGAGUGGAUGCACCCUGCUCCCAUGAUCACCCUGCUGCCCAGAAUGCAGGGAUCUAAUCAGAGCUGAAGGUCAUCACAAAGACACCAAAGGCAGGCAGAGGCCAGGUCCCCCGCCUGGUCUGCCCUGGCAUGCGCAGGCCCAGGCAAGAGGCCAGGCUCACAGCACAGGCCGCUUCUGAGGCUCUGUCUUCCUAGUGCACUGCGAGCUCUUCACUGUGCCACUCGAGUCCUGCUGCAGCUUGCCGAGGUGGGUCAGGCUCCUGUGCGGAGUGCUCCAGGAGCAAGGGCUUUGCCUGGUUUUGACUGACUACAAGUGCUGUAGCCAUAGGGGAACACCCCCCCACAUCCUCUGAAGACCUGGGCUGGAGCUGGGAACCCCAAGUCACUGCAGUGUUCACAAGUAGCAUUUAAUUACCACCGACAAGCUGUGUCCCCCCCCCCCAUGGCCUCCCUUCAAGAAAGCUCUCUCCCAGGGCUGGGACUGUAACUCAGUGGCAGAGCACCUGCCUAGCAUGUGUGAGGCACUGGGCUGGACCCCCAGCAC